UUAUUAUUAUUAUAUGGGAACAAAUAAGAAUAGAUGUAAAAGAUUUGGACAGGAUGGUAUUAAAGGGGGUCUUCUAAUGUCACACAAGUGUGCCUCCAUCUAAACGAGCGUUUCUCAAUCUGGGGGCUGGGACCCCUUGGUGGGUCGUGAUGGGGGUUCAGAGGAGUCGCUAAAGACCAGCAUUUUCUAUUUGUCAUGAGGGUUCUGUGUGGGAAGUUUGGUCCAAUUCUUUCAUUGGUGGGAUUCAAGGGGUUCUUUGAUUGUAGAUGAACUAUAAAUACCAGCAACUAUAACUCUUAAAUGGUACAGUCUAUUUUCCCCAAACUCCACCAGUGUUCAAAUUUCGGCAUAUUGAGUAUCUGUGCCAAAUUUGGUCUAGAUCAAUCAUUGUUGGAGUCCACAGUGCUCUCUGGAUGUAGGUGAACUACAACUUCCAAACUCAAGGUCAAUGCCCACCAAACCUUUCCAGUAUUUCCUGUUGAUCAUGGGAGUUGAUCAUGUUGAUCAUGGGAUCAUGUGUGCCAAGUUUGGUUCAAUUGGUGGAGUUCUGAAUGCUCUUUGAUUGUAAGUGAACUAUAAAUCCCAGUAACUACAACUUCCAAAUGACAAAAUCAAUCUCCCCAAUCCCACCGGUAUUCAAAUUUGGACGUAUCAGGUAUUUGUGCCAAAUUUGUUCCAGUGAAUGAAAAUACAUCCUGAAUAUCAGAUAUUUACAUUACGAUUCAUAACAGUAGCAAAAUUACAGUUAUGAAGUAGCAACGAAAAUAAUUUUAUGGUUGGGGGUCACAACAACAUGAGAAGCUGUAUUAAGGGGUCAUGGCAUUAGGAAGGUUGAGAACCAUUGAUCUAAAGUUCUAAACAGUGUAACUUGCCCAGUGUAACUUGAUAAAUCAAGCAUGCAUUAUUACAUUUGAUACAGAAAUAAGAAAAGUAGGUGUGGUAGUGUGGGUAUGUAUCCAGUAAGUAUGCUGUCCUCACACAGUCUUCUUUAACCAUAGGUUGCCUAACCUAACAGGUACUUUCUCCAGUGGGUGUGAUAAGGUCCAGAUAUAUAGAAGAGAUGAAGGGAUUACAACAGGUAUUUUUUGCCAUGCAGUCAGGUGACAAGCUGCUCUGGCUGAAAUGCUCUCUCCUACCCAACUAUGAAAGCUACAUGAGCUCUCUCCAGCUUUCAUCCUGGCAACCAUACAGCCCUUGUUCAAGACUGAACAGAAGGUCUACUUUCUGAAGGGAAACUGUGAGCUUAGCAGAGGCUGCGACAGGGCACGGAAAAUUGUAGACAAUUUCCAGACAACCUACUUGUAAAGCAGAGAAGUGACUCAUUCCACUCUGCUACAUAAAAUGCCACACGUUUGCCCUGGCAACGCGCAUGCGUGUGGGGACCCCCCACAUUUCUUUGCUUUCUUGUAACACUUAACAAUGAGGGCCUUUGCGUUAUGUACACCAAGGCAGUAAAUCUUCUUUUGGGUUAUGCCACUCGAAGCUGCAGGUGGAGGCUUCGAUUGAAUAGUUCUUCUACAUGCCCUCAAAGUACUUCCAGACAUAAAAGUAAAUAUUGAGGAGAAGGGAGGUCUUCAUGAAGCACAUGGAAGGGGAGUCUGUGUGAUAGGGUGUUUUCCUAACCCCAUUGCUGACACCCAGGCUCCCUUGAAGGGAUUCAUGCUGGUUGUGGUUUCUGGAGCUGCAAUUCAACAAGAGCUGGACAGACACAUACUUCCCAACCAGUCUAAAGACUGCUUCUAACAUCCUAUAUAUCAUAUGAGUCUCAUUCCUGAUGACAUGCAACUUCUGUCAUUUCUAUACUCUCCUACAGUUCACAGAUGAAAAUUGGGACAUUUGUUGAACAGCAACAUAAGAUGGCAAAAGUUAUAAUUGAGGAAGAACACACAGCUAGGAGAGGCUGCAGUGGUUUCUUUAGGCUGAACGGACUGUCCUCUUCCCCUACAUUGAGUGCAGACCAGUUUUGAAAUUUUCAGGUUUUUCAGCAAGAAUACUCCAAUACCACAGCAGGAUUCCACAAGAUGAAACUAUGGCAAUUAAAGUGGAAUAAAGGCACUAUAACUGUGUAGUG